UACGAAGGGGGCUAGCGUUGUUCGGAAUACUGGGCGUAAAGCGUGCGCAGGCGGUUUUGUAAGUCUGUCGUGAAAUCCCCGGGCUCAACCUGGGAAUUGCGAUGGAGACUGCAAGGCUAGAAUCUGGCAGAGGGGGGUAGAAUUCCACGUGUAGCAGUGAAAUGCGUAGAGAUGUGGAGGAACACCGAUGGCGAAGGCAGCCCCCUGGGUCAAGAUUGACGCUCAUGCACGAAAGCGUGGG
rnacentral:rRNA from 1 species